UGAAAUGUAAAUAAGAGAUACUCAAGUUA
rnacentral:piRNA from 1 species